UUAUUAUUAUUUUAUAAACCUAAAGAAUUUGGCGGUGUUUUAUUCUGUUUAGAGGAACUUGUUCAAUAAUCGAUAAUCCCCGUUAUAUCUUACUUGAUUUCAGUAUGUAUACCGCCGUUAUAAGUUUAUAUUUUUAGGUCAUUAAUUUACUAAUUAAUUAAUUAAUUUUUAUUUCAGGUCAAGGUGCAGCUUAUAAUUAAGUUGAAAUGAGUUACAAUAUUAUUUUAAUUUGGAUUUAAUUAAUAAUAUUUUUGUUGAAAUUGGAUUUAAUUGUAAUUUUAAUAAUAGAGUUAUUUUGAACUUUGGUGCUAAAAUGAGUACACAUCGCCCGUCGCUCUA
rnacentral:rRNA from 1 species